GCCUUAUGUCUCAUCCUAGAUUAGGUAACCAGAUACCUCAUAUUAGCCUAUUGUUACUGUAUCACACUUUGUUUUAUUGUCAUAAAAAGAAUAAAAGGUGAUUCAUGGGUUGUCCUCCUCUCCUCCAAGAAACCUGUUUUUGGUACAGAUCUAUAGUUCUCUAUUGUAUCCUGGCAACUGGCUUAAGGAGUUGAAUAACUGCCAUUGCCAGCAUACAAUGUUAAGGGGCAAAAAUGUCACAAGCAGAAUCCCAAGCAAUUCUGAAAAAUCAAAGCAAAAGUAUUCUCUAGCUACUCAGAGCUGAAAUCAACUUGAAUAGUCCCAAAUUCAGAAGUCAACACAUCCACCUGAACAGUCCUUAAUAAUAAUAAAGAGAAUUACUGAAUG
rnacentral:lncRNA from 1 species